rnacentral:rRNA from 1 species
UACGUAGGGUGCAAGCGUUGUCCGGAAUUAUUGGGCGUAAAGAGCUCGUAGGCGGUCUGUCACGUCGGCUGUGAAAACCCGAGGCUCAACCUCGGGCCUGCAGUCGAUACGGGCAAACUAGAGUACUGCAGGGGAGACUGGAAUUCCUGGUGUAGCGGUGAAAUGCGCAGAUAUCAGGAGGAACACCCGGUGGCGAAGGCGGUUCUCUGGGGCCUGUAACUG